UGGGCGUGGGGUGAGCCCUAUGGGAGGCGGCCCGCUACAGGGGGACGCCUGGGGACACCGCUGGCUGUUGGUGUUCCUCUGUAGGGACGGGCAUGGAGCCGCCCCUGCCCUGGAGAUGGGGGCUGUGACGCAGCUGGGGCUGUAGGGAGCGGGUCGGGGACCUCCUGCUAUGGGGCCGGGACCCCCGUCUCCUGCGGCCUGAGUGUGGCAGCCCCAUAAGCUGUCAAGGAGCUGCUGGUGUAUGGACGAAAAAGGAUGUUGGGGUGCUCUGAAGACCAGCACACGCUGCAAUGCUUCCGUCACACAGUGAGGAGCAGGCCAAGGAGCAACAAGCACCGGCUGCCACCGAGUUCUGUGACUUUGUCCAACACCAGCUCCCAGUUCUUGUUCUGCUUCCUCGUGAGAAGAAAGAGCACCGGAGCAGGCGAGCUCUUCCCUCUGCUGUGUUGGAUAACAGCGGUCACGCUGCUCCUUAAUGAGCUACACAGAGCCCUGGCAGUCUCCAGCUGCUGCUUGCAGAUCAUCCCUGCUGCUCUUCUCUGAACCACAUUUGGGUAUUGUCACAACAUGGUAUUGCAAGGUUUGUCUGUCUGUGAGGCUGUGCCCAGGGUGCAGCUCCUUCCUGACAGUGCUCUCCUGUUCCUGACUUUGUGGGUGCCUCCUGUGGGUGGACCUGGAUAAAUCCCUGGCCAGGGGUGCAGGCAAGCAGCAGAAGCCCUUGAGAAGCCACCGCUAAGCUCAAAUGUUCAUCUUCCCACCUUCUCCCUGCCCCAGCAACUAUUAAAACAUUUGUGGGUUAGCCCUAA